UGAAUAAACAAACGGCUCGUCUGAAAUGCCUGAGUGUACCCCGCAUUGCGGCGUAUUCGGUGUGAUAAAUCUUCACCGGAGUUGAUCCCUUUAUGGGGUUGCGUCUGUAAUGGUGUGCUCUAUGCUUCGGACCGUCUUCUAUCGAGACAAAUCUCUGACAAUUUGACCUCAAAUCGGGUGGGACUAGCCGCUGAACUUAA
rnacentral:misc_RNA from 1 species